rnacentral:tRNA from 1 species
GCCGGAGUGGUGAAACUGGUAGACGCGCUGGACUCAAAAUCCAGUGACCCAAAAGGUCGUGUCGGUUCAAGUCCGACCUCCGGCACUA